AUGAGUAGGGCGGGACACGUGGUAUCCUGUCUGAAUAUGGGGGGACCAUCCUCCAAGGCUAAAUACUCCUGACUGACCGAUAGUGAACCAGUACCGUGAGGGAAAGGCGAAAAGAACCCCGGCGAGGGGAGUGAAAAAGAACCUGAAACCGUGUACGUACAAGCAGUGGGAGCACAGGUUUACCUGUGUGACUGCGUACCUUUUGUAUAAUGGGUCAGCGACUUAUAUUCUGUAGCAAGGUUAACCGAAUAGGGGAGCCGGAGGGAAACCGAGUCUUAAUUGGGCGUUAAGUUGCAGGGUAUAGACCCGAAACCCGGUGAUCUAGCCAUGGGCAGGUUGAAGGUUGGGUAACACUAACUGGAGGACCGAACCGACUAAUGUUGAAAAAUUAGCGGAUGACCUGUGGCUGGGGGUGAAAGGCCAAUCAAACCGGGAGAUAGCUGGUUCUCCCCGAAAGCUAUUUAGGUAGCGCCUCGUGAAUUCAUCUCCGGGGGUAGAGCACUGUUUCGGCUAGGGGGCCAUCCCGGCUUACCAACCCGAUGCAAAC
rnacentral:rRNA from 1 species